AGAGUUUGAUCCUGGCUCAGGAUGAACGCUGGCGGCGUGCCUAAUACAUGCAAGUCGAACGCGAAAGGUCUGAAGCCUUCGGGCGGAGGGCCGAGUAGAGUGGCGAACGGGUGAGGAACACGUAGGUGACCUGCCCCGGAGAGGGGGAUAACCGUCGGAAACGGCGGCUAAUACCCCAUAAGCUCACGCGAGUUAGAGGGCGUGUGAGAAAAGCUCCGGCGCUCCGGGAGGGGCCUGCGGCCCAUCAGCUAGUUGGUAGGGUAAAGGCCUACCAAGGCGAAGACGGGUAGGGGGCCUGAGAGGGUGGUCCCCCACAUGGGAACUGAGACACGGUCCCAACUCCUACGGGAGGCAGCAGUAAGGAAUAUUGCACAAUGGGCGCAAGCCUGAUGCAGCAACGCCGCGUGCCCGAGGACGGCCUUCGGGUUGUAAAGGGCUUUUCUGGCUGACGAGGAAGGACGGUAGGCCAGGAAUAAGCGUCGGCUAACUACGUGCCAGCAGCCGCGGUAAU
rnacentral:rRNA from 1 species